CAGUAGCCGCGGUAAUACGUAGGGUGCAAGCGUUAAUCGGAAUUACUGGGCGUAAAGCGUGCGCAGGCGGUUUUGUAAGUCUGUCGUGAAAUCCCCGGGCUCAACCUGGGAAUGGCGAUGGAGACUGCAAGGCUAGAAUCUGGCAGAGGGGGGUAGGAUUCCACGUGUAGCAGUGAAAUGCGUAGAUAUGUGGAGGAACACCGAUGGCGAAGGCAGCCCCCUGGGCUAAGAUUGACGCUCAUGCACGAAAGCGUGGGGAGCAGACAGGAUUAGAGACCCCUGUAGUCCCUGUCUCUUAUAC
rnacentral:rRNA from 1 species